GCCUCUUUCAGUCACUAUUUCCAGUCACUGUUUUUCGGAAGACAACUCUAUCCAUGACUGGGACUUGGCCACCAAGCCACUUUUAUGAUCACCUCUCGAUGCGGGCGAUGCGAUUGUUGUUGGUGACGAAACGUGACCAAUUGUCGGGAGCAUUGUUGCUUUUUAGCAACUAUUUUUAUGGACGACAAUAUGUGGAAAAAAAAAUGUUUAAUUGAAUUACGACUGCGGAGUAGUACUCUGCGGAGAUCGAGUCGCAUCUGGACAAAAUGGCCGCUGGCUGCUGGGCCUGACAAACGGACAGUGCCAGCUGACAAACAUCAAUCAGGCAACGGCAAAAGUUUAACUAAGCAGAACGCCUCAGAAAAAGCUCAAGAACAGCUCUAAGGCAGCUCUGAGGCAGCUCUGGGCCAGCUCUGGGCCAAUUCUUUAGAAAAACGUGAAAAAUGCCGUACUGUUACGCUUUAGUAUUUGUAUCUGUUAGUGCCACACACAAAAGACAACGCUGAAAUGCAUUUUUAGUUGUGGCUUAGCAGUUGAUUGCAUUUGCUGGCGGACCCGCAGCAUAUGUUGCUCAUUCCAACCUUGAAGUGCUUUGCAAAAUGCAAAAAAAAAAAAAAAAAGGAAAAUAAUACAAAAAAAAAAAAAAGAAUGAACUACACAUAAAAAUAUACUAGAGUCACUCCGCUGUAAUGGCAACUAUGAAUAAAUACGAGUACUCGUAUCUGGCGGGCGGCCCAACUCGAACAAUUGCGUCGCACUUGGAAACGAGUUUGCAAAGUGCGAGUUCCAUAAGUUGGUCAGUGGAACGGAAUGGGAAGUGCUUGGGCUACGGAUUGGCCAGAUAUCGAGGAAGGAAGCUAUAGACCAGAUAUGCCAGCCAC